rnacentral:rRNA from 1 species
AUUGAACGCUGGCGGCAUGCCUUACACAUGCAAGUCGAACGGUAACGCGGGGCAACCUGGCGACGAGUGGCGAACGGGUGAGUAAUGUAUCGGAACGUGCCCAGUUGUGGGGGAUAACUGCGCGAAAGAGCAGCUAAUACCGCAUACGACCUGAGGGUGAAAGCGGGGGAUCGCAAGACCUCGCGCAAUUGGAGCGGCCGAUAUCAGCUUAGGUAGUUGGUGGGGUAAAGGCUCACCAAGCCGACGAGCUGUAGCUGGUCUGAGAGGACGACCAGCCACACUGGGACUGAGACACGUCACAGACUCCUACGGGGGGCAGCAGUGGGGAAUUUUGGACAAUGGACGCAAGUCUGAUCCAGCCAUGACGCGUGCGGGAAGAAGGCCUUCGGGUUGUAAACCGCUUUUGUCAGGGAAGAAAAGGCUCCUUCUAAUAUAGGGGGCUCAUGACGGUACCUGAAGAAUAAGCACCGGCUAACUACGUGCCAGCAGCCGCCGUAA